CAGGUGAAUUUUGGGGUUUUGAGGGGGUCUCAGGUGUAUUUUAGGGGUUCCCAGGUAAAUUUUGGGGGUCCCAGGUGAAUUUUGGGGAUCCCAGGUGGGUUUUGGGGUUCCCAGGUGAAUUUUGGGGGGUCCCAGGUGAG